ACUGCGAGUGAAGCGGGAAAAGCUCAAAUUUGAAAUCUGGCAGUUUUUGACUGUCCGAGUUGUAAUCUAGAGAAGUGUUACCUGUGCUGGACCAUGUACAAGUCUUCUGGAAUGGAGCAUCAUAGAGGGUGAGAAUCCCGUCUUUGACAUGGACUGCCUGUGCAUUAUGGUGCGCUCUCAAAGAGUCGAGUUGUUUGGGAUUGCAGCUCAAAAUGGGUGGUAAAUGCCAUCUAAAGCUAAAUAUUGGCGAGAGACCGAUAGCGAACAAGUACCGUGAGGGAAAGAUGAAAAGAACUUUGGAAAGAGAGUUAAACAGUACGUGAAAUUGCUGAAAGGGAAACGCUUGAAGUCAGUCGCAUCAGCCAGAAAUCAGCCUUGCUUUUGCUUGGUGUACUUUCUGGUUUUCUGAUGGGCCAGCAUCAAUUUUGACCAUUGCACAAAGUCUUUGGGAAUGUGGCAUCCUCGGAUGUGUUAUAGCCCAUUGUCGUAUAUGGUGGUUGGGAUUGAGGAACUCAGCAUGCCUUCUGCAAAGGGGGCCAGGUCUUUGGACCAUGUCCAUGCUUAGGAUGCUGGCAUAAUGGCUUUAAUCGACCCGUCUUGAAACACGGACCAAGGAGUCUAACAUGCCUGCGAGUGUUUUGGGUGGAAAACCCAUUCGCGCAAUGAAAGUGAAAGUUGAGAUCUCUGUAAAGGAGAGCAUUGACGCCUGGACCAGACCUUCUGUGACGGAUCCGCGGUAGAGCAUGUAUGUUUGG
rnacentral:rRNA from 1 species